rnacentral:rRNA from 1 species
UCCGUAGGUGAACCUGCGGAGGGAUCAUUACACAAAUAUGAAGCCGGACUGGGAUAGGGCCUCGCUGCCUUGCCCGUCUGGCGCCAUAUUCACCCAUGUCUUUUUGCGUACUACUUGUUUCCUUGGCGGGUCCGCCCGCCAAUUGGACCUUAUUCAAACCUUUUUUUCAGUUGCAAUCAGCGUCAGCAAAACAAAUGUAAUCAAUUACAACUUUCAACAACGGAUCUCUUGGUUCUGGCAUCGAUGAAGAACGCAGCGAAAUGCGAUAAGUAGUGUGAAUUGCAGAAUUCAGUGAAUCAUCGAAUCUUUGAACGCACAUUGCGCCCUUUGGUAUUCCAAAGGGCAUGCCUGUUCGAGCGUCAUUUGUACCCUCAAGCUUUGCUUGGUGUUGGGCGUCUUGUCUCUCUCCCGAGACUCGCCUUAAAAUCAUUGGCAGCCGGCCUACUGGUUUCGGAGCGCAGCACAUUAUUUGCGCUCUUGUCCAGCCGCGGUCGCGCGUCCAUGAAGCUUCUUUCAACCUUUUGACCUCGGAUCAGGUAGGGAUACCCGCUGAACUUAAG